ACGUCAACACUACGUCGAAUGCGUCGGUUGUCGUCCGAUCACUGAAGUUAAACAGCGUAGAGCGAGGUACCGCACUCAGAUGGGUGACCGCCUGGGACCGCGUGUUGUUGGA